rnacentral:misc_RNA from 1 species
GAUGAAGAACGUAGCAAAAUGCGAUAAGUAAUGUGAAUUGCAGAAUUCAGUGAAUCAUCGAAUCUUUGAACGCACAUUGCGCCCGCCAGUAUUCUGGCGGGCAUGCCUGUUCGAGCGUCAUUUCAACCCUCAAGCGCAGCUUGGUGUUGGGACUCGCGUUAAUUCGCGUUCCCCAAAUUGAUUGGCGGUCACGUCGAGCUUCCAUAGCGUAGUAGUAAAACCCUCGUUACUGGUAAUCGUCGCGGCCACGCCGUUAAACCCCAACUUCUGAAUGUUGACCUCGGAUCAGGUAGGAAUACCCGCUGAACUUAAGCAUAUCAAUAAGCGGAGGA